GAGUUUUUCGGCGAUGGGAGACGAGCAGCUGGCGAUUGUGAUGGCCGAUCGUGAAAGAGAUCGAGAACUUUGAUUCGCUUCGCUGAUUCCGGCAACAAAGACGAUGAUUACUGGCAGCUCUAGCGCGAUUUUUAAAUCAGAUCAUCCCGCCAUGACCUCACAAGCUUGUCUCUUCAGAAUCAGCUCAAAGCAGACAGGAAAGAGGCGUUAAAGAUUUGGUGCAAGCUGCGACUCUGUGAUCACAACUCCACACCAAGUAUUCUCUUACAUCGCACUCGUCGCUCCUGCACUCGUAGUUUCUUUGAAUAGCCAAUGAAGAGUAAAGUUCAAUUAUGUGUGUCGUGUUUAGUAAUUUGACUUGAAAAAAGAGUUUGCUAGGGUCUCUUGUGAACAAGCUGUUAUGUCUGCAAUUCGUGAGUUUUGGUUAAUUUUGGAUUUGUACUUCUUGCAAUGGCUGCCCUCAAACCAUUGAUUAAUGUAUUAUAUAGGUGGUGUGGUUAAUGAUCCU
rnacentral:sRNA from 1 species